AGGAAUAUUGGUCAAUGGACGAGAGUCUGAACCAGCCAAGUAGCGUGAAGGAUGACUGCCCUAUGGGUUGUAAACUUCUUUUAUACGGGAAUAAAGUGAGGCACGUGUGCCUUUUUGUAUGUACCGUAUGAAUAAGGAUCGGCUAACUCCGUGCCAGCAGCCGCGGUAAUACGGAGGAUCCGAGCGUUAUCCGGAUUUAUUGGGUUUAAAGGGAGCGUAGGCGGACGCUUAAGUCAGUUGUGAAAGUUUGCGGCUCAACCGUAAAAUUGCAGUUGAUACUGGGUGUCUUGAGUACAGUAGAGGCAGGCGGAAUUCGUGGUGUAGCGGUGAAAUGCUUAGAUAUCACGAAGAACUCCGAUUGCGAAGGCAGCUUGCUGGACUGUAACUGACGCUGAUGCUCGAAAGUGUGGGUAUCAAACAGGAUUAGAUACCCUGGUAGUCCACACAGUAAACGAUGAAUACUCGCUGUUUGCGAUAUACAGUAAGCGGCCAAGCGAAAGCGUUAAGUAUUCCACCUGGGGAGUACGCCGGCAACGGUGAAACUCAAAGGAAUUGACGGGGGCCCGCACAAGCGGAGGAACAUGUGGUUUAAUUCGAUGAUACGCGAGGAACCUUACCCGGGCUUGAAUUGCAACUGAAUGAUGUGGAGACAUGUCAGCCGCAAGGCAGUUGUGAAGGUGCUGCAUGGUUGUCGUCAGCUCGUGCCGUGAGGUGUCGGCUUAAGUGCCAUAACGAGCGCAACCCUUAUCGAUAGUUACCAUCAGGUUAUGCUGGGGACUCUGUCGAGACUGCCGUCGUAAGAUGUGAGGAAGGUGGGGAUGACGUCAAAUCAGCACGGCCCUUACGUCCGGGGCUACACACGUGUUACAAUGGCAGGUACAGAGAGACGGUCCCUUGCAAAAUGGAUCAAAUCCUUAAAGCCUGUCUCAGUUCGGACUGGGGUCUGCAACCCGACCCCACGAAGCUGGAUUCGCUAGUAAUCGCGCAUCAGCCAUGGCGCGGUGAAUACGUUCCCG
rnacentral:rRNA from 1 species